rnacentral:tRNA from 1 species
GUGUCCGUAGCUCAGUUGGUAGAGCACUGUGUUGAAGCCACGGGGGUCGUAGGUCCGAAUCCUAUCGGGCACA